GAUUAACGCUGGCGGCGUGCAUAACACAUGCAAGUCGAACGAUGAAACUCAUUAGAUUUCUUCGGAAUGAAAAUGAAUGGAUUAGUGGCGAACGGGUGAGUAACGCGUGAGUAACCUGCCUUACACAAGGGGAUAGCCUCUGGAAACGGAGAAUAAUACCCUAUGAAACCAGACAAUCGCAUGAUAAUCUGGUCAAAAUGUUUAGUGGUGUAAGAUGGACUUGCGUCUGAUUAGCUAGUUGGUGAGAUAAAAGCUCACCAAGGCAACGAUCAGUAGCCGGCUUGAGAGAGUGUACGGCCACAUUGGGACUGCGACACGGCCCAGACUCCUACGGGAGGCAGCAGUGGGGAAUUUUGCACAAUGGGGGAAACCCUGAUGCAGCGACGCCGCGUGAUUUAGAAGGCCUUCGGGUUGUAAAAAUCUUUUGUAUAGGAAGAAAAUGACAGUACUAUACGAAUAAGGUCCGGCUAAUUACGUG
rnacentral:rRNA from 1 species